GAGGGGGAUAACCCGUCGAAAGACGGACUAAUACCGCGUACACUUAGGAUAGGGCAUCCUAUCCCAAGGAAAUGAAAUUCGCUGUGAGAUAGGCAUGCGUCCCAUUAGCUAGUUGGUGAGGUAACGGCUCACCAAGGCGACGAUGGGUAGGGGAACUGAGAGGUUGAACCCCCACACUGGUACUGAGACACGGACCAGACUCCUACGGGAGGCAGCAGUGAGGAAUAUUGGUCAAUGGGCGAGAGCCUGAACCAGCCAAGUCGCGUGAAGGAUGACUGUCUUAUGGAUUGUAAACUUCUUUUAUACGGGAAUAACAAGAGCCACGUGUGGCUCCCUGCAUGUACCGUAUGAAUAAGCAUCGGCUAACUCCGUGCCAGCAGCCGCGGUAAUACGGAGGAUGCGAGCGUUAUCCGGAUUUAUUGGGUUUAAAGGGUGCGUAGGCGGCCUGUUAAGUCAGCGGUGAAAUCUAGGAGCUUAACUCCUAAAUUGCCAUUGAUACUGGCGGGCUUGAGUGUAGAUGAGGUAGGCGGAAUGCGUGGUGUAGCGGUGGAAUGCAUAGAUAUCACGCAGAACUCCGAUUGCGAAGGCAGCUUACUAAGGUACAACUGACGCUGA
rnacentral:rRNA from 1 species